ACACCUCGUUGAAACACCUGUUCUUAUACGAUCAUCGAAGGUAAGUAAUGUCAAGCCUGGUCAGUACCUAGAUGGGUAACUGCUUGAGAAUACUAGGUGCUGUAA